GACGAACGCUGGCGGCGUGCCUAAUACAUGCAAGUUGAGCGCUGAAGGUUGGUACUUGUACCAACUGGAUGAGCAGCGAACGGGUGAGUAACGCGUGGGGCAUCUGCCUUUGAGCGGGGGACAACAUUUGGAAACGAAUGCUAAUACCGCAUAAAAACUUUAAACACAAGUUUUAAGUUUGAAAGAUGCCAUUGCAUCACUCAAAGAUGAUCCCGCGUUGUAUUAGCUAGUUGGUGAGGUACAGGCUCACCAAGGCGAUGAUACAUAGCCGACCUGAGCGGGUGAUCGGCCACAUUGGGACUGAGACACGGCCCAAACGCCUACGGGUGGCAGCAGUAGGGAAUCGUCGGCAAGGGACGAAAGUCUGACCGAGAAACGCCGCGGGAGUGAAGAAGGGUUUCGGAUCGUAAAACUCGGUUGGUAGAGAAGAACGUUGGUGAGAGUGGAAAGCUCAUCAAGUGACGGUAACUACCCAGAAAGGGACGGCUAACUACGUG
rnacentral:rRNA from 1 species